GAACAACAUUAGACUACUCAGUUGCGCCCUAACAGUAUAACUUUGCAACGAGUACUUUUUCUCAUUUAAUCGAACAAAGUGUAAAACCUAAUUAAAUUGUUCGAUUAUGCCCAGAGAGUGUAAAGUUCGAACGAAUCGAUGUCAACGGUCACAAAAACCAAAAUCGGAACAAUAUUAGACUAGUCACUUGCUCCCUAACAGUAUAAAUUUGCAACGAGUACUUUUUCUCAUUUUUUCGAACAAAGAGUAAAAGCUAAUUAUAUUGUUCUAUUAUGCCCCGAGAGUGUAAAUUUGGAACGAAUCCAUGUCAACGUUCACAAAAACAAAAUCGGAACAACAUUAGACUACUCACUUGCACCC
rnacentral:lncRNA from 1 species